rnacentral:rRNA from 1 species
AUGCACGCUGACAGAAUGCUUAACACAUUCCAGUCAUUGGCGAAGCUGCGCUUGCGCAGUCUAGCCAAGGCGGACGGGUGAGUAACGCGUAAGGAACUUGCCCUGCAGACAGGGAUAACAGACGGAAACGACUGAUAACACCUGGUAUUGUCAGGCUGGCGCAUGCCGGCCUGAUGAAAGGAGACGCUGCAGGAGAGCCUUGCGUCCUAUUAGCUAGUUGGUGGGGUAACGGCCCACCAAGGCGAUGAUAGGUAGCCGGCCUGAGAGGGUGAACGGCCACAAGGGGACUGAGAUACGGCCCUUACUCCUACGGGAGGCAGCAGGGGGGAAUAUUGGAAAAUGGGGGCAACCCUGAUCCAGCAAUUCUGUGUGCACGAAGAAGGUUUUCGGAUUGUAAAGUGCUUUCAGCAGGGAAGAAGAAAGUGACGGUACCUGCAGAAGAAGCGACGGCUAAAUACGUG